rnacentral:lncRNA from 1 species
CGGCCGCUUCAGCCGCCGCCUCAGCCCGGCCGGGCCGGGCCUCCGCCGCGGGCGGUGCACCGGGUCGGCGAGGACGGGCUGCGAGCGCAUGUGACACAGUUGUGGGCCAGACAGAUGAUGUGACUGCCCAGUGCCAGAUGUCCACGGAGGUUGGGGAAACUGCCGCAGGCAGAGGAGGGCAAGGUCUAAGGAUGCCCACGUGUCCUGGCAGAGUGUGAUAUUCAUCACCAGAUGCCAUCUGAGCCCAGUGGAGAGGAGCAACAGGAGCCACCUAGAGGGCUGCAGGCCUCCCCCAGAGCCUUCCGAUCCCUCUCUGUAGCAGGUGUUAGUGAGAAGGGAGAAGGACUCAGCUCUUCAACCUUCCAGAACUGCCAUGCAAGAGAUCUCUGGUGGACGAAGGGUUUGGUGGUGCUACCCCAUGCCUCUGGGUUCGAUGACCAUAGUGACUUGCAGCAAGGCUCACUUGACUCGGCAUCCAGGCCUAGAGAAUUUCAGGGACAAUAAGCAUCCUGAUUGCAUUCAUCAUCUUUAUUUUCCCCAAGAAAUGAGCUUUUGUGACCUAAUUCUGUUAUUUCUGGUUUUAGAAGACCAGGAACAGAUUGUCUGCUUUAGUGUUUUGAAACGUCGUUCGUCGAGUAAAGCUGAGGAAAGGGGACAUGUCGCUAAGGAGCUGGGACUUGGAGAUCUCAGUGUGACUGUUACUGUGUGACUUAAUGAAAUGUGAAAGAAACAAGACGUGAUGAGAAGUGAAGGAGUCAUUUAUCUGUUUGUUAAUGUGAAUUUCCAAUAUUAAAAUAUUGGAAUCUGGUUUUUAUGGA